rnacentral:rRNA from 1 species
AUUGAACGCUGGCGGCAGGCCUAACACAUGCAAGUCGAACGAGUGGCGGACGGGUGAGUAAUGUCUGGGAAACUGCCCGAUGGAGGGGGAUAACUACUGGAAACGGUAGCUAAUACCGCAUACCAUCGGAUGUGCCCAGAUGGGAUUAGAUAGUAGGUGGGGUAAUGGAUCACCUAGGCGACGAUCCCUAGCUGGUCUGAGAGGAUGACAAGGCCCACUGUAGCUGAGAUACGGUCCAGACCCCUACGGGAGGCAGCGGUGGAGAAGAUUGCACAAUUGGAGGAAGCUUGGUGCAGCCAUGCCGCGUGUAUGAAGAAGGGAUUCGGGUUGUAAAGUACUUUCAGCGAGGAGGCGUUACUAGCAGAAUAAGCACCGGCUAACUCCGUGCCAGCAGCCGCGGUAAUAC